GAACGCUGGCGGCGUGCUUAACACAUGCAAGUCGAGCGGUAAGGCCCUUUCGGGGGUACACGAGCGGCGAACGGGUGAGUAACACGUGGGUGACCUGCCCUCAGCUCUGGGAUAAGCCUGGGAAACCGGGUCUAAUACUGGAUAUGACUCCAUGACGCAUGUUGUGGGGUGGAAAGCCUUGUGCGGCUGAGGAUGGGCCCGCGGCCUAUCAGCUUGUUGGUGGGGUGAUGGCCACCAAGGCGACGACGGGUAGCCGGCCUGAGAGGGCGACCGGCCACACUGGGACUGAGACACGGCCCAGACUCCUACGGGAGGCAGCAGUGGGGAAUCGUUGCGCAAUGGGCGAAAGCCUGACGCAGCGACGCCGCGUGAGGGAUGAC
rnacentral:rRNA from 1 species